AGCACCUGUGUUUUUAUUGAACUGGUGGACAAAGACAUAAAAACAGGUGCAAAACUACUACCCCCAACCUUUGCAGUCCAGAAUUGAUGGUUAAUUAUGAGUUUUGAUACAUAUAAGACAGUUGAAA